UUCUUACUUUUGCUUUCUCUUUCUCUUUUCUCUUUUGGCAGAUGGCAGAUAGACAAGGAAAUCACGUAGAGUGUCUCUUUUCCCCUUCUGCUUUUGCCGAUAAAAUCAGUGCAGUCUUCAAAUUGCUUACUUUCUCUUUUCACUUUCUCAGAAAUCAAAGAAUGAUUUCACAUGCAUGAAACAUUUUCUCCUUUUGCUUUCUCAGAAAUCAGAGAAUGAUCGCACAUGCCUGAAACACUUUCUCCUUUUGCUUUCUCAGAAAUCAGAAAAUGAUGGCUUUUUCCUUUUUGCUUUCUCAAACACAUGAUUUCACACGGUACCCCCUCAUGAUAGUACGCAUAGUAGAACUCAAAAUCAACGGCAAGCAUAAUUGCAUUGUUAAUUAGAUAAAUUCAAUGAAUAUACCUGACCCAAAAGGGCAUCAACAUCAUCUCAGUCUCAGUCUGAAUGCAGAAAAUGCCUGAUCUACGUCACCUUAAGCUGAGAAAUCACCUUAGCUCCGCCUUGUAUCUUUUCUCGGCUGUGCGAACUGGUCGGAGAAUGUGAACGGCGACCGCCGAUUGGACGCAAACAACGCAACUUUUCUGGGAAAUUUGGGGUUGGAGAUUGAGAGAAGAUGGAGACGCUCAAUGGACAAAACAAAUCGCCUAUGAUCAAUCAAAACCCAUUAAACAAAGACUGAUCAACGAUCAGAAACGAUCGGAAAAAAAGACCCAGAAAAACCCCAACUCAUGCACAUCCGUCGUACGCCUGAGAAGCAAGUCGGCGAUCGGAAUGCUGCAUCGGUUUGGAGAGAGAGAAGAUUCAGAGCCCGACCAACUGAAAAAUGAGUCUGUCAUUUCAACUUACUUGCACUGGCGCAGGGCAUCCUUUGUCUUCUUAGAGACGGGCAGCUACUCGAAUCUGGUGGCGCCGGCGUAGGGAGAAUAGAGGGUGUUACCGAGAUGGCUGACGGGGGCGUCGGAGGGCAAGGCGGGGAGGGACAUGGGGUCGGAGCCACAAUCGGGUUUCUGGGUCUGAGAGGUCCUUUUGCUUGCGGAAGUACUUCGAUCUGGGUUUUCUCACUGCGGCUGGAUCCGGCUGUGUUGAAAAAAACUUAGAAAAAAGAUCGAAUCUUUGGCGACAGAGAAGUAUGCGCGAGAUAGAGGAAUGCUUUGUCAGGGGACACGAUCGAAACUCCGGUUUUAUUCCUACUCUUCCUUCAAACAUCUGAACCUGAAUGGUUAUUCGGAAGAUAAGAACUGGGAUUCGCAUCCUUAUGAGGCGGGAAUCACGGGAUUGGUGGAAAUUUUUUAGCUUGAGGAGUUUUGAAACUUUUUGUAGUCUCGCCAGGUUCACACCGCGUGGAACUCCAGGAACUGGGUCUGAGAACUUCGCCCGGAGAAGGAUUUUUCGAAUUUGUUGAAAUCUGGAAAUCAGGAUGUGAAAGUCGUGGUGGUACCAAUUGGGUUUUUUUGUUUAAAUCUGUGUAUUUUGUAGAGAGAAAUGAGAUGAGACUGAAGCAGGAAGUGAGUCAGCUGAUUUUGUGUUUCUGGGAGGGUUUUGCAGAUCCACGGUGGACAGUGGUGAGGUUGUGAAGAUUUCACGGUGGUGAGAUGAAAAAUUGAGAGAGAACCGACAUAACUUUUCGUGUCGUUCCCAUAGACGGCGCCAAAUGUUGAUGCACAAAACCGGAGGUCUUGGUACAACGUAAAUCAGACCGUGAAUCUGCAGAAAUGUAAAUAAGAUAAGAUGUAUCGUGGUUCACCCCAAGGUUUGGGCUACGUCCACAUUGAUUAUAUUGUAUUUCUCUGAGAGGAUAGAGAGGGAGAGGGUGAGAGCUUCUGAGAGCUUCUGAGGUUGAGAGAGGGGAUCUCAGGCUUAGGAAUUGGCCUCCCCUAAUUGUGAGGGUGAGGGGUCAUUUUAUAGAAUAAAGACUCCUCAUUUA